UACGUAGGGGGCAAGCGUUGUCCGGAAUUAUUGGGCGUAAAGAGCGUGUAGGCGGUCCGGUAAGUCAGCUGUGAAAGUCAAGGGCUCAACCCUUGAAUGCCGGUUGAUACUGUCGGGCUAGAGUGCGGAAGAGGCGAGUGGAAUUCCUGGUGUAGCGGUGAAAUGCGCAGAUAUCAGGAGGAACACCAAUUGCGAAGGCAGCUCGCUGGGACGUAACUGACGCUGAGACGCGAAAGCGUGGGGAGCAAACAGG
rnacentral:rRNA from 1 species